AUACGGAGGGUCCGAGCGUUAAUCGGAAUUACUGGGCGUAAAGCGCGCGUAGGUGGAUGUAUAAGUCAGAUGUGAAAGCCCUGGGCUCAACCUAGGAACUGCAUUUGAAACUGUACGUCUAGAGUAUGGUAGAGGUGAGUGGAAUUUCAGGUGUAGCGGUGAAAUGCGUAGAGAUCUGAAGGAACAUCAGUGGCGAAGGCGACUCACUGGGCCAUUACUGACACUGAGGUGCGAAAGCGUGGGUAGCAAACAGGAUUAGAAACCCUAGUAGUCC
rnacentral:rRNA from 1 species